CGUUGUGAAACCUUAUAAAUAGUUUCUAAGAUCAUGAUCAUGCCUUCUUAAAUUUUCCGUUAACCAUAGUGUGCACGUGUUCCUGGAAAUAAUUUUUUUCCUUCUUCUGUGAAGAAGUUAUAAAAACAAAAAAAAAUGAUCACCAUAUCCAAGAAGUGGCAGAACUUCCACUCUUUAUUUCGAAGAAAAUUCAAACUUUACAAGAAGCAAAAAAAGUCGUAAUCUUUUUUUUUUUUGAAAAAAUUUCAAUGGAAUAAUAUUGUCAAGAUGUACAAAAAAAACAACGAUUAAGGGCAGAAAGAGAAAAAAUGCGAAAUUUUCUUUUGCAUUGAACGUCUUGGAUCUUUGAUUGUUUACGUAUAUAAAAUCAGAAAACGUGAAAAGUGAUGAAAUCGCAUCAAGUCUGUGAUUUGGAGGAUAAGAAAAAGUUGACGAAAUUUUAAAAAGAAAUUUAAAAACAAGUUUCUUUAAAAAUGGAAAAAAAUGUAUUACAAGAACUACAGCAAAAUAUAAAAAAAAAGUGUGUACGAUUUUUUUUUCCUUGGUGAUAUAUUGUUUAUAUUAUAUAAAUAUAAAAAUUAUAUAUUGUAUUUAAAGCAAAGUUGAAAUAAAUUUGUAAAAAUCGCGUUAA